UCAAGUGUUACCUAUUAUAAGCUGCCAAAAGACCAAGCAGUGCGAAGCUCUUGGCUGACAGUGGUGCCUGCUAAUUUCCACUGCAAGGAUUUCGUCCACGAGUGUUAUCAUAGGUUACGCGCGACUCCAGAGGCAAUUUGGAAUCUCGGCACGAAAUCGUCUGAUGAAAAUCUGAGGUGCCCGACGCAUAACAUUUUGAACGUGCCACGGAGGAUCAAGGCAAAAAACGAGAGCAAAAAAUGGUGCACGCUGAAGGCGGAAAUGAAGCAUGAUCUGGCUUGCAUCUGGUCAUGAAGAAAUUGCUGACACGUUAGUUGCAGUCCACCUCCACCAACAGGGUGGAAAACAAAGGUCGCCAUUCCGAUUAGCUGCUAUCUCCCAGUUCAAGCACUUUUGUGUCUGGACACUGGUUCCUGUGGAUGGGGUGUUACAAGCUUCACUGUCUGAUAUAGAAGUGAUGAGCAUCCAGAAGGACACGUGCCAGAAAGGGAGUCUCUUUGGGAUGACGAACCGUCAUCUCCUC